GAAGUGACAUACUUUAAGAAUACCAGAUUAAUCUGUUCUGAUUUUUUUAAUUCGCAGCUGGGAUAAAAAAAAGAGCCUUUUGAAGAGUCUUCAAAUCAACAGUAAUUUCAGAUUUUCACAACACGAAGAGGCAGAGCGCAAAGUGAAUUUGACACUUUGAAAAAUGCUACACAAGAACACUGAAGGCGUGAUAAGGACCUUUGUGAUCAUCGAUGCUAUUUCCAAUGGUGAAAGGGAGGCUCCGAAAAGUCAAGCGGCUCGUCCCAGGCCAUGUGGCGGGCUAAGGGCAGAGCCAGGGCUGCCGACCAUGUCUCCUGUCUCAGAGUCCCAGGAUCUUUCUCCUGGGAAGAUGUACGAUGUAUUUCCUCAGCACAAUGCUAGGUUGCCAAGACGGGCCUGUACCUAGCAGAGGUAUUUGUAUAAUCAAAGCUUCUGGAACUUUCCCUGCCAAGGCU
rnacentral:lncRNA from 1 species